GUAGGGAAUAUUGGACAAUGGGCGCAAGCCUGAUCCAGCAAUGCCGUGUGUGUGAAGAAGGCCUGCGGGUUGUAAAGCACUUUCAGAUGGGAAGAAAAGUGGAUGGCUAAUACCUAUCCAGAUUGACGUUACCAUCAGAAGAAGCACCGGCUAACUCUGUGCCAGCAGCCGCGGUAAGACAGAGGGUGCAAGCGUUAAUCGGAAUUACUGGGCGUAAAGCAUGCGCAGGUGGCUAUGUCAGUCGAGUGUGAAAGCCCCGGGCUUAACCUGGGAACAGCAUUCGAUACUACAUGGCUAGAGUAUGGUAGAGGGAGGCGGAAUUCCACGUGUAGCGGUGAAAUGCGUAGAUAUGUGGAGGAACACCAGUGGCGAAGGCGGCUUCCUGGACCAAUACUGACACUCAGGCAUGAAAGCGUGGGGAGCAAACAGGAUUAGAUACCCCAGUAGUCC
rnacentral:rRNA from 1 species